UGUUUUUAACAUCAUAAAUUUAAAAAUUUACUAGCUGGAAGACUGCCACUCCCAGGGCUAGCCAAGUCUUAGAGAUAACAAAAUGCUCAGCCCCCAGGCGGCUUUCAUAUGCAAACCUACCAAUCCUGAGUCUACAGCCCCAAAUACCUUUCUGUCUAAGGCUCACAUAAUCAAUUAUAAUUUUUAAAAAAGGAAAAAGAAAUCUCAGUUCAUUGAAAAACAUUGCAAACACGGGCAAUUUUCCCUUUAUUAAAAAAAAAAAAAAAAGGAAAAGUGAAAUCUCAUUUAAAUAAGCGGGGCUUUCGAAGAGAACUGUGAGUGGCCCUACCGGUAUUAGGUGGAUCGCCUUUUUCAAUACCAGGACAAGGAAAAUGUCACUCAAAACUGCUAAGAAUCUCAAGAAUUUACAUUUUGACAGGAAAAAAUAAGAACUCCAUUUUGGCAGAAGUUAAAAUACAGGAGGGAGCAAGGGACUCUCCAUUCAUUCAUUCCGAAACUUUCUUGGAACACCUUCUACCUCUCCAGCCUGCGCACAGCCCUGAGGCAGGGGCUAGGGUACCGGCUCUCAAAGAUCUCACAGGCCAGUGUCCACAGUUCUGCCCUGACCAGCCUCCUCCCAGACAUGGGGGAGGGAUUACAAGGUGAUACUAUAAAUGUAUUGGGAGGCGAAGGCAGAAGGAUCAUUCAGGAGUUCAAGACCAGUCUGGGCAACAUAGUGAGACCCAGACUCCACCAAAAAAAAAAAAAUUUCAUUAGCUAGGCAUGAUGGUACACACUUAUAGUCCCAGCUACUUGGGAGGCUGAGGUGGGAGGAUUGCUUGAACCCAGGAGGUCAAGGCUACAGUGAGUCAUGAUCGUGUCACUGCACUGCAGCCUGCGCAACAGAGUGAAACCCUGUCUUAAACAAAAACAAAACAAAACAAAAACCUUAUUCACCCCUCGGCUUAAGCAAGGCCCUUUCUCGUGUGAGUGUUUUCAUAAAUUGUAUGUCUAGGAUAACUCAACAGGUAGGGAUACACCUAAAGCCAUAUCUGGAAGCAGAGAUAGAUAAAAGGUAAAACCUACCCAAACAGGGAGCUGAGGACCAUCACUGAAGAUGAAAUAUUUGCCUUACGAUUUUGCUUCAGGUGGAUCCAGUUCUCUCUGUCCUUUCCACAGAAGAAAUGACUCAAGGCAACCAUCUAUCCUCAUCCCUCAGAGGAUGAACCCCUGUCUCCAGCAACUUUCCCAUGGUUUCGUCCAACAAGCACAAAGCACUUGUGUUGUGUCAGGCACUGGAGACACCAACUGUGACCAAAAGACAGGGCACACUCCGAAGGGGCCUACAGUGGUGGGAGAUUCAGAUACAUAACAGGCAAGUCCUAGGGUGAGGGAACUAGUACCACUGGGGAGGCUGGGAGGAAGCUUUUACCCCAACCAUGUGCCCUACCCAGACAGUGCCUGAGCAGGUGGGGGGUGGUUGAAGCCAGGGCAGCAAUGAGCCAGGCAAUGCCCUUUAACACAGACAGACGUGGGCAGGGAGCAGAGUGCGUUCUGCAAUCCAGUGGGAAAUGCACGCAGCAGGGGAGCAGUGUGUGUGCCUGUGUGUGUGUGCGCGUACCCACACGUGCACUCAUACACGUGUGUGUUCACA
rnacentral:lncRNA from 10 species